ACAACUUAUCAAAAUCGGGUUGACAGAAUCGGGCUACGCAGACAGCCGUGCCUCUGAAUGCGGCAGGAAUUUGAUGCGGUUAAAAAUAUGUUUUCUUUACCGCUUUUUAUUCCUCGCGUAACUGUUUUUCGUCACGGUGUUCCACAAGCAUGAAGGGAGCGGCGAGCGUGGCGCGCUACGGGACCCGUUUGGAAGCGGAUCAUGUCGCUGAUGGUUUGGAAAAGUCACAAGCGUCGUAAUUACUUCCCGAAUGGGGUUCCGCCAAGACCACCCUGAACCAUCCCAUUCACAACCCGGAUCUUUUCAGCGAGGAAACCAUCAGCACACAGUUUUCCUCCACAACUCACUGAAAGCGCAUUCAAUCAAGACAUGGAUGGCUGCUAGGUUUUAGAUUGAUGUGGACAUUCGACGUACCGUCCGGGAUGAAGUUCUCAAACUUCGAUGUCAGAAAGCAAACCCAUCGACGUGGCACACAAAGAGUAUGCUGCC